CAUGUGCAGUUGCAAACCGUAGUCUGGCUUUUUGAUGGCGGUUUUUGAGCAGUGGCUUCUUCCUUGCUGAGCAGCCUUUCAGGUUAUGUCGAUAUAGGACUCGUUUUACUGUGGAUAUAGAUACUUUUGCAUCUGUUUCCAGCAUCUUCACAAGGUCAUUUGCUGUUGUUCUGGGAUUGAUUUGCACUUUUCGCACCAAAGUACAUUCAUCUCUAGGAGACAGAACGAGUCUCCUUCCUGAGCGGUAUGACGGCUGCGUGGCCCCAUAGUACACGGUCCUAUUUUUUCUGAGGCCUUGGCUGAUUUCUUUUGAUUUUCCCAUGAUGUCAAGGAAAGAGGCACUGAGUUUGAAGAUCUUCGGGAAGUGGGUCUUCAUCAAGGGUUUCCUGGACCAUGAGAUGUUCAAUGCGAUACUGAGAAAGACCAACAGCUCCUGGAUUUAAUUAUUUCCCAGUUCCCACAACAAGAUAGUCCUUCUCCUCCAGGGAGACUUGAUAGAAUAAUGUGACUUCCGCGGGACAUUUACUGCAAACCUAUCCUGACUGUCUCGCUAUGCACAGCAGGAACACCAUGGUCGGAGUGCAUAUCUGAUCUCUCUAUUUCUUUGGGAAGCCCAGGACACUGCCAGAGUCAGAGCUGAAGCAUUUCUGGAAAGCAGCAGAAUGCCUCCAGUAUCCUCCGCCUGCACAGUAUUCAUUAUUUCCCCUAACCCUACUCUACUCAACAAAAGGGACACCAGGCAACAUUUAGUAUUGAUUUAGAAUGUUGUAAUUUAACAGACUAGAAUAGAUCUCUAUUGGCUGAGUCCUUGUGUGUUUAGAACCUUGUUAAAGUUUUCACUAACAUCUCCUCUCUUCUCUCUGCAGAGUUUGCGCUGAGAUAAAAGAGAGCUUGCGCAUUGCUGAAUCUCAAUAUAUAACAUGGUUCACAGUAACAUGGCUACUGAUGAUGAAAUGGUUGCAUUAAUAAAAUCAUUUGGACUAAUUAAAA